AUUGAACGCUGGCGGCAGGCCUAACACAUGCAAGUCGAGCGGAGCGGCGGAGGGGUGAGGAAUGCUUAGGAAUCGGAAUGGUAGUGGGGGAUAACGACCGGAAACGGGAGCUAAUACCGCAUACUAUCAGCAGCGCAUAGUGCGGAUGAGCUAGAUGGUGGGGUAAAGGCAUACCAAGGCGACGAUCCCUAACUGGGCUGAGAGGAUGAUCAGUCAAACUGGAACUGAGACACGGUCCAGACUCCUACGGGAGGCAGCAGUGGGGAAUAUUGGACAAUGGGCGCAAGCCUGAUCCAGCCAUGCCGCGUGUGUGAAGAAGGUCUUCGGAUUGUAAAGCACUUUAAGUUGGGAGGCGUUACCCACAGAAUAAGCACCGGCUAACUCCGUGCCAGCAGCCGCGGUAAUAC
rnacentral:rRNA from 1 species